UGGCAGUGAGCUAUCGUAGCAGGCUGUUGCAGUGGCUACACAUCAUGUGACGUCAUGAAAUCAAACAGCUGUUACCUCACUACCU
ensembl:miRNA cin-mir-4091 cin-mir-4091